ensembl:snoRNA LOC120101276 small nucleolar RNA SNORA48
AACCCCCGAGGCAAUGGCCAAAGAGAUACCUUGUUGGUGGUGAUUUUCUUACAUCAGUCGGUAGCAGAGCAGAUGGCAGUCCUUUGUUCAUCCUAGCUUGAUGCUUGGCUUAGUGGCCAAAGCUGUCUUAUGCUUAGGAAUCAUCA